rnacentral:tRNA from 1 species
GGUCCAAUCGUAUAGUGGCUUAUUAUGCUGUCUUAGGGCUUCAGCACGCCUAGAAAGCGUGUAUUCUAUGACAGAGGUCCCCGGUUCGAUUCCGGGUUGGACCC